rnacentral:rRNA from 1 species
AUUGAACGCUGGCGGCAUGCCUUACACAUGCAAGUCGAACGGUAACAGGGAGCUUGCUCCGCUGACGAGUGGCGAACGGGUGAGUAAUGCAUCGGAACGUACCCAGUAGUGGGGGAUAACGCAGCGAAAGCUGUGCUAAUACCGCAUACGCACUGAGGUGGAAAGCAGGGGACCUUCGGGCCUUGUGCUAUUGGAGCGGCCGAUGUCAGAUUAGCUAGUUGGUGGGGUAAAAGCUCACUAAGGCGACGAUCUGUAGCUGGUCUGAGAGGAUGAUCAGCCACACUGGGACUGAGACACGGCCCAGACUCCUACGGGAUGCAGCAGUGGGGAAUUUUGGACAAUGGGGGCAACCCUGAUUCAGCCAUGCCGCGUGAGUGAAGAAGGCCUUCGGGUUGUAAAGCUCUUUCGGCCGGGAAGAAAUCGCCAUCUCUAACAUAGGUGGUGGAUGACGGUACCGGAAUAAGAAGCACCGGCUAACUACGUGCCAGCCGCCGCAGUAA